UAGGGAAUCUUCGGCAAUGGGGGGAACCCUGACCGAGCAACGCCGCGUGAGUGAAGAAGGUUUUCGGAUCGUAAAGCUCUAUUGUUAAGGAAGAACGAGUGUGAGAAUGGAAAGUUCAUACUGUGACGGUACUUAACCAGAAAGGGACGGCUAACUACGUGCCAGCAGCCGCGGUAAUACGUAGGUCCCGAGCGUUGUCCGGAUUUAUUGGGCGUAAAGCGAGCGCAGGCGGUUAGAAAAGUCUGAAGUGAAAGGCAGUGGCUCAACCAUUGUAGGCUUUGGAAACUGUUUAACUUGAGUGCAGAAGGGGAGAGUGGAAUUCCAUGUGUAGCGGUGAAAUGCGUAGAUAUAUGGAGGAACACCGGUGGCGAAAGCGGCUCUCUGGUCUGUAACUGACGCUGAUGUGCGAAAGCGUGGGGAUCAAACAGG
rnacentral:rRNA from 1 species